AUCAUAUUCCUUCCUUCCUGACAAAGGCAAAUCAAAUCAUAUUCCUUCUACACCGUCACUUUCACUCCAUCUUUUAUGCAUUGUAUCAUUUCUUUUCUUCACCCCACAUCACCACCACACCAUCUAUCCCCUCUAUAAUACUCUUUCACAAAUCAAUUUUCUCCUACUUCGUUCCUCUGCAACAAGAACAAGAUUUAUUCUUCUCAACUUCUACUCAAUCAAAUUCAAGAAACCAAGAAUCCAAAUUCAGGUAGGAGAAAACCAACAGCCUUGCUUGAGCCGAUCUGUUCAGUGAGGGUACGUCCGCAAGUAAAGUCGGAACGAAUGAUUCAAGUUAAAGGAACUAAAUGAUCCAGGUUGAGCAGCGAAGUGGUGGAGGAAGUGCUAUUGAGACAAGACAUUUAAUUCAGUCAGAUUUUGAC